rnacentral:rRNA from 1 species
AGUGAACGCUGGCGGUAGGCCUAACACAUGCAAGUCGAGCGGCAGCACAGUAAGAGCUUGCUCUUACGGGUGGCGAGUGGCGGACGGGUGAGGAAUACAUCGGAGUCUACUUUUUCGUGGGGGAUAACGUAGGGAAACUUACGCUAAUACCGCAUACGACCUACGGGUGAAAGCAGGGGAUCUUCGGACCUUGCGCGAUUGAAUGAGCCGAAGUCGGAUUAGCUAGUUGGCGGGGUAAAGGCCCACCAAGGCGACGAUCCGUAGCUGGUCUGAGAGGAUGAUCAGCCACACUGGAACUGAGACACGGUCCAGACUCCUACGGGAGGCAGCAGUGGGGAAUAUUGGACAAUGGGCGCAAGCCUGAUCCAGCCAUACCGCGUGGGUGAAGAAGGCCUUCGGGUUGUAAAGCCCUUUUGUUGGGAAAGAAAAGCAGCAGGUUAAUACCCCGCUGUUCUGACGGUACCCAAAGAAUAAGCACCGGCUAACUUCGUG